AACGCUGGCGGCGUGCCUAAUCCAUGCAAGUCGAGCGAACGGACGAGAAGCUUGCUUCUCUGAUGUUAGCGGCGGACGGGUGAGUAACACGUGGAUAACCUACCUAUAAGACUGGGAUAACUUCGGGAAACCGUAGCUAAUACCGGAUAAUAUUUUGAACCGCAUGGUUCAAAAGUGAAAGACGGUCUUGCUGUCACUUAUAGAUGGAUCCGCGCUGCAUUAGCUAGUUGGUAAGGUAACGGCUUACCAAGGCAACGAUGCAUAGCCGACCUGAGAGGGUGAUCGGCCACACUGGAACUGAGACACGGUCCAGACUCCUACGGGAGGCAGCAGUAGGGAAUCUUCCGCAAUGGGCGAAAGCCUGACGGAGCAACGCCGCGUGAGUGAUGAAGGUCUUCGGAUCGUAAAACUCUGUUAUUAGGGAAGAACAUAUGUGUAAGUAACUGUGCACAUCUUGACGGUACCUAAUCAGAAAGCCACGGCUAACUACGUG
rnacentral:rRNA from 1 species